GAAGAAGAAGAAGGCUGAAGCUGAACAGGAAGUGGAGACACUGGAGAAGAAGCUGGAGAGCAGACAGAAGGAAACAGACACCAACAUCACAGAGUGUGAAGUGAAGGAAGCUGAAGUCCAGCAGCUGCAGGAGGAGGUUCAGAGGAUGGAGACCAGCAUCAUGGAGCUGGAAAGAAGCCGAGGCUGCUGAAGCCAGUUCUUCCUCCUCUUCACGGUUUAAACUGAAGAUAUUAUCCAGAAACAAGUCUCAGGAGGAGAAGAGGAAGAAGAGGA